UACGAAGGGGGCUAGCGUUGCUCGGAAUUACUGGGCGUAAAGGGCGCGUAGGCGGAAUGGCAAGUCGGUCGUGAAAUCCUUCGGCUCAACCGAAGAACGUCGAUCGAAACUGCCGCUUCUUGAGGAUUGCAGAGGAGACUGGAAUUCCCGGUGUAGCGGUGAAAUGUGUAGAGAUCGGGAGGAACACCGGUGGCGAAGGCGGGUCUCUGGGCAAUUCCUGACGCUGAGGCGCGAAAGCGUGGGGAGCAAACGGG
rnacentral:rRNA from 1 species